rnacentral:rRNA from 1 species
UACGUAGGGUGCGAGCGUUGUCCGGAAUUAUUGGGCGUAAAGAGCUUGUAGGCGGUCUGUCGCGUCUGCUGUGAAAAUCCGGGGCUCAACCCCGGACUUGCAGUGGGUACGGGCAGACUAGAGUGUGGUAGGGGAGACUGGAAUUCCUGGUGUAGCGGUGAAAUGCGCAGAUAUCAGGAAGAACACCCGUGGCGAAAGCGGCUCUCUGGAACGGUACUGACGCUGAGACGCGAAAGCGUGGGGAGCGAACAGG